rnacentral:lncRNA from 1 species
AAUUAAUAAUAAAAUAUUUAUAAUUUAAUCAAAAGCAUAGUCUAUUAUUUAUACUUUUCUUAUGUAUAUAUAUAUAGCUCAUUUUGUCCUAAUAAGGGCCCCGAAGAAUUCUAGUGCCUAGGGUCUGGUAUGUAAUUAAUCCGGUACUAUAUGAAACGAAUAUUCUACUUUUAUCGAUAUUUAACAGUACGAAUAGAAUAUUAUUUUGUGUUAAAAGAUUUAUUUAAAAAAUAGUACUCCACUGACAGCUGACUGUCAUCAUAUAAUCAUUUCGUAAAACAUUAUUUAUGCUCAUGUUGGGGUUAGCGCGCCUAACCUCGACAGGUAAACUAGAUUGUUGCCAAUCAUUUAAUCAAGAAAGUUGAAACAAUCAAUUUAUUCUUUAUUUAGGAGUAUUAUGUCUGGCUGUGUCGUAGCAAUUUGCAAAACAAAUACAAGAUACAAACAUGAAAAAAUUAUUUUACGUAGCUUUCUAAAAGAUAAAGAUCUAAGAAAUACGUGGAUUCAUAAAUGCAAAAGGAAAGAUAAAUUUAAUCCAAAAAAUAUCAGGAGUUUGUUCCAAACGCUACACAUCAGAUGAUUAUGAGAGGAAUUUGAAAGCAGAACUGCUUGGUAUACAACUUAAAAAGAAAUUAAAAUCCACAACAAUACCCUCAAAGCAGCUGGAUCCAGAGACUUCAGAAUUUGGCAUCACAAUUUUUAAUUUUAUUUUUAAGUUAAAUAUCAUUUUUAAUUUGGUGAUUGAUUAAAUAUAUGUCUAAUCAGGUGAUUCAUCAAGUAUUGAAGCAAACCAAAAAAAAAAAAAAAAUUAUGUUACUAAAAUAUCUCGAGGAAAUUUGUAUUGUCCUGCUGAUGAGUGGUUCAACAUUUUACAAACAGUUUGAAUUAUUAUUCAAUUGUUUCCAUGGCGAAAAAAUUUCAAAAAAUACGCCAGUCAUUCAAAAUCUCUGUUCAAUUAUCAGUGAUAAGUUCCCUAAUAUGUAUGAAAAAGUAAUCAAGUUAUUUGUUCGGACAAGACCUUCAUCCGGCAAAAUUUUUUAAAUCAGACAAGAAAACAACAGGCAACUGAAGAGAGAAAAAAGAAAAAACAAAACAAUGGCUUAAAUCUAACUGAG